UCUGCUGCUAGAUUACUGCAAGUGUGGCAGUGGUGUUUUAUGUGCCUCAUAGGUGGCAGAGGAGAGAGAGGCUAUGUCGAAGCUCAGUGUUGUGACCUGAGAACAUCUGAAUGAUAAAGAGUAUAACACA